rnacentral:rRNA from 1 species
AGGGCACCACCAGGAGUGGAGCCUGCGGCUUAAUUUGACUCAACACGGGAAAUCUCACCAGGCCCGGACACCGGAAGGAUUGACAGAUUGAGAGCUCUUUCUUGAUUCGGUGGGUGGUGGUGCAUGGCCGUUCUUAGUUGGUGGAGCGAUUUGUCUGGUUAAUUCCGAUAACGAACGAGACUCUGGCCUAUUAACUAGACGUUAGAUCCUUUAUGGGUUUGACGAUGCUUCUUAGAGGGACGGGCGGCUUUUAGCCGCACGAGAAUGAGCAAUAACAGGUCUGUGAUGCCCUUAGAUGUUCUGGGCUGCACGCGCGCUACACUGAAGAAAUCAGCGUGUGUUCCCUAUCCGAAAGGAUUGGGAAACCCGUUGAACCUUCUUCGUGAUGGGGAUUGGGGAUUGCAAUUAUUCCCCAUGAACGAGGAAUUCCCAGUAGGCGCGAGCCAUAAGCUUGCGUCGAUUACGUCCCUGCCCUUUGUACACACCGCCCGUCGCUACUACCGAUCGAGUGAUUUAGUG